rnacentral:rRNA from 1 species
UACGGAGGAUGCGAGCGUUAUCCGGAUUUAUUGGGUUUAAAGGGUGCGUAGGCGGUCCGUUAAGUCAGCGGUCAAAUGUCGGGGCUCAACCCCGGCCUGCCGUUGAAACUGGCGGCCUCGAGUGGGCGAGAAGUAUGCGGAAUGCGUGGUGUAGCGGUGAAAUGCAUAGAUAUCACGCAGAACUCCGAUUGCGAAGGCAGCAUACCGGUGCGCAACUGACGCUCAUGCACGAAGCGUGGUGAUC